AGUGAACGCUGGCGGUAGGCCUAACACAUGCAAGUCGAACGGCAGCACAGUAAGAGCUUGCUCUUACGGGUGGCGAGUGGCGGACGGGUGAGGAAUACAUCGGAAUCUACUUUUUCGUGGGGGAUAACGUAGGGAAACUUACGCUAAUACCGCAUACGACCUACGGGUGAAAGCAGGGGAUCUUCGGACCUUGCGCGAUUGAAUGAGCCGGUGUCGGAUUAGCUAGUUGGCGGGGUAAAUGCCCACCAAGGCGACGAUCCGUAGCUGGUCUGAGAGGAUGGAGCGCCACCGUGGAAUUGAAGAGCGCGCAGGACCCUUAGGGGGGGCCGAGGUGGGGAAUAGGGGCAAAAGGGCGCAACUUUGAACCAGCCACACCGGGGGGGUGAAGAAAGCCCUUGGGUGGGAAAACCCUUUUGUUGGGAAAAAAAACUCGCGGUUUAAAACCCCCGUGCCUGAAGGUAACCCAAAGAAAAGGCCCGGGUAACUCCCGC
rnacentral:rRNA from 1 species